GUUUGGAUCGAGAUGCAUCAAGAGAGUCUCCUGUGUCCCCGGGCAUCUUCGACGCGCACUCUCCCUGUGCUUUUGAUGCAGAGCAGCCAGGCCCAAGCACUUCGUGUGAGGCAAUAGGCAUCCAUCAAGUGGCCGGGGUGAGUGAUUGCGGCCCAGCAGAGGACCCAGAUAAUCUGCAGGCACUGUGGAGACAAAAAAUUAAACUGCAAAUUAAAGUGUUGCGGCUCCAAGAGGAGUACUACAGCUUGGCUUUUAAAAAAAAAAGAAAAGAUACUGAGUGAUAAAAAAGUAAUAAAACGAAUUAAUAAAAAAGCA